rnacentral:rRNA from 1 species
AUGGGGACAACAGCUGGAAACGGCUGCUAAUACCGAGUAAGCUCCAAUGACCGCAUGGUAAUUGGAGGAAAGAUGGCCUCUGCAUAUGCUAUCGGGAAAGGAUGGACCCGCGUCUGAUUAGAUAGUUGGUGAGGUAACGGCUCACCAAGUCGACGAUCAGUAGCCGGCCUGAGAGGGUGGCCGGCCACAUUGGGACUGAGACACGGCCCAG